UUGAAACGUGUACAGAUGGCUAGCAAGGAAACCUUGAAUGACGGCUCUACAGCGUCCAAAACCGGCGACCACUCCACAUGAAAUUCAAAACAUGACAGGACUCAGAAAGUGUUAGCCAAGGUUGAAGAUGAAUCAAGAAAACCGCAUGCUGUCCCAGGGGCAUCAGCCUGGCUCAACAGUAGCUGAGAAAUGUUCCCCACAGAAGAAACCUUCACCACAGGUGCAAGUCUCCACUGGGUAGCAGAGCGUGUGUCGCCUGCUGCACCCACACUUAAGCACUCAUCAGCAACUCGGUCACAGUCUGCUGGAGAGGCCGAAGUAAGCUGAGAAGAUGCUGACAAUGAGAAGAUUGAAGCUUGGAAGCUAUAUUCGCCGAUUGGGAACGAGCAUUUUUCAGGAACUACCUAGAGCGCCGAUGCAGCAGCCCAGAAGAAAUCGCCACAAGACAUAGUUUCCUUGGAAGAAUUGUCGCCUGCAAGAUAGCAGAAAUCAUGAAGGGCCAGAAGAAGCAUGUGUAGUUUUGAUUUUAGAAUAUAUUUGUACAUAUGCCCCAAUUA